UACAGAGGUCUCAAGCGUUGUUCGGAUUCAUUGGGCGUAAAGGGUGCGUAGGCGGCGCGGUAAGUCGGGUGUGAAAUCUCGGAGCUUAACUCCGAAACUGCAUUCGAUACUGCCGUGCUUGAGGACUGGAGAGGAGACUGGAAUUUACGGUGUAGCGGUGAAAUGCGUAGAUAUCAGGAAGAACACCCGUGGCGAAGGCGGUUCUCUGGGACGGUACUGACGCUGAGACGCGAAAGCGUGGGGAGCGAACAGG
rnacentral:rRNA from 1 species